AGGGCUCACGGUGAAUGCCUUGGGAUCAAGGACCGAUGAAGGGCGCGGUAAGGCUGCGAUAAGCCUCGAUUAGCCGUCUAACGGGCUUAGUCGAGGAUUCCCGAAUGGGGAAACCUGUUCCGGUGUUGAGCCGGUUCAUCUGCAUAGCAGAGGGUAAGUGGGGGAACUGAAACAUCUAAGUACCCCGAGGAAAAUAAAUCAACCGAGAUUCUCUUAGUAGUGGCGAACGAACGGGGAAUAGGCCAAACCCCUAUGACUUAGUGGUGUAAGGACCUAUGUCAUAGCGGUGUCGUAGGAGGCAUCUGAAAUCGCCUUGCCAGAUUUCAAGAAGUUACAAAACAUGAGUUUAGUCGAAGGACCCUGGGAAGGGCCGUCGUAGAGGGUGAUAGCCCCGUAGACGAAAAGUUCAUGUCUUCUGAUGCAUUUCCUAAGUACCACGGGACACGAGAAAUCUUGUGGGAAGUCGGGGGGACCACCCUCCAAGCCUAAAUAUCCUUGAUCACCGAUAGCGAACAAGUACCGUGAGGGAAAGGUGAAAAGAACCCCUAGCGGGGAGUGAAAUAGACCUGAAACCGUGAGCUUACAGAAGGUCGUAGUCCUGAUUUAUCAGGAUGUCGGCGUGCCUAUUGAAGAAUGAUCCAGGGAGUUACUUUAUGUAGCGAGGUUAAGAAACUGUAGUUUCGGAGCCGAAGCGAAAGCGAGUCUGAAUAGGGCGACUAGUUUCAUAGAGUAGACACGAAACCGAGUGAGCUAACCAUGGCCAGAUUGAAGGUCCGGUAACACGGACUGAAGGAUCGAACCCGUAGCUGGUACAAAAGCUUGGGAUGAGCUGUGGUUAGAGGAGAAAUUCCAAUCGAACUCGGAAAUAGCUUGUUCUCCCCGAAAUGUAUUUAGGUACAGCCUCGGAUUAAAGAUGAACGGAGGUAGGGCACUGAAUGGGCUAGGGGCCGUAAGGUUACCAAACCCAAUCAAACCACCAAUGCCGUUUAAUUGUUAUCCGGGAGUGAGACAGUCACAGAUAAGUGCGAUUGUCAAAAGGGAAACAGCCCAGACCACCGGCUAAGGCCCCCAAGUGCGGGCUAAGUGGGAAACGAGGUGGGAUUCCCUAGACAACUAGGAGGUUGGCUUAGAAGCAGCCAUCCUUUAAAGAGUGCGUAAUAGCUCACUAGUCAAGGGGUCCUGCGCGGAAAAUGUAACGGGGCUAAAGCCCGUCGCCGAAGCCGUGGAUUUUAGUAUGUAUGUACUGGGAUGGUAGGGGAGCGUUCCUCGGGCAGUGAAGUUGUAUCGUGAGGUACAGUGGAGCGCGGGGAAGUGAGAAUCCUGGAAUGAGUAGCGUUAACAAGGGUGAGAAUCCCUUGCGCCGGAAGCCCAAGGUUUCCUACGCAAUGUUUAUCAGCGUAGGGUUAGUCGGUCCUAAGCCGUAGGCAAAUGCCGAAGGCGAUGGACAGCAGGUUAAUAUUCCUGCACCGCCUGUUUUUUGUUGAUACUCGGAGGGGUGCGGAAGGGUAGAUAGGGCGUGCCUAUUGGACAUGGUACGUUCUUGACUGUAGGUAGUUGGAGCAGGAAAAUCCACUCCAACGUUACACUGAGAGUCGAGAAAAUCGGAUCCUACGGGAGUAAGAAAUCCUAUUGAACCCAAGCCGACUAGAAAAGCUUCGUUUGUAGAAACUCAGGCGACCGUACCGCAAACCGCCACUGGUGGGCAGGUAUAAAAGUACCAAGGCGUGCGAGAUAACCUCCGUUAAGGAACUAGACAAAAGAGCCCUGUAACUUUGGGAGAAAGGGCCCCCCGGAUGGUGAAGGCCACUUGCUGGCACAGCUUUUUGGGGGCGCAGAGAAGAAGCCCGGGCGACUGUUUAACAAAAACACAGGUCUGUGCUAAGGGGAAACCCUACGUAUACAGGCUGACACCUGCCCAGUGCUGGAAGGUUAAGGGGAGGGGUGAGAGCCUCGAACUGAAGCCCCAGUGAACGGCGGCCGUAACUCUAACGGUCCUAAGGUAGCGAAGUCCCUUGUCGGGUAAGUUCCGACCCGCAUGAAUGGUUGAACGACUUGGGCAUUGUCUCAACGGAGGGCUCGGUGAAAUUGCGGUGCCCGUGAAGACGCGGGCGACCUGCGGCAGGACAAAAAGACCCCGUGGAGCUUUACUGUAGCCUGGUAUUGGGCUGGGAGCUGUCAUGUGUAGGAUAGGUGGGAGGCUAUGAAAUUCUUGCGCCAGUGAGAAUGGAGCCAUUGUUGAAAUACCACCCUUGGCUGUUUUUGGUUCUAACCUCAGCAAAACUGAGGGACAAUGCCUGGUAGGCAGUUUGACUGGGGCGGUCGCCUCCUAAAAGGUAACGGAGGCGCCCAAAGGUUCACUCAGGACGGAUGGAAAUCGUCUGCAGAACGCAUUGGCAUAAGUGAGCUUGACUGCGAGACCUACAAGUCGAGCAGAGACGAAAGUCGGGCAAAGUGAUCCCACGGUCCCGUGUGGAAGGGCCGUGGCUUAACGGAUAAAAGCUACCCCGGGGAUAACAGGCUUAUCUCCCCCAAGAGUUCACAUCGACGGGGAGGUUUGGCACCUCGAUGUCGGCUCGUCCUAUCCUGGGGCUGGAGGCGGUCCCAAGGGUCCGGCUGUUCGCCGGUUAAAAGGGUACGCGAGCUGGGUUCAGAACGUCGUGAGACAGUUCGGUCUCUAUCCGCCGUGGGCGUAGGAGACUUGAGGGUACAUCUCCCUAGUACGAGAGGACCGGGAGGUACACACCUAUGGUGUUCCAGUUGUCCCGCCAGGGGCAUCGCUGGGUAGCUAUGUGUGGAAGUGAUAACCGCUGAAGGCAUCUAAGCGGGAAGCAUCCCCCAAGAUUAGGUCUCCCUUCCUGAUUAAAUUCGGGAGUAAGACAGCAGAGAGACUAUCUGCUUGA
rnacentral:rRNA from 1 species